AAGCAGAGACACUGGGAGCGGGAGCAGUGACAAUACUGGCUAUCUGCUGGCUAUCGACAGUUGCGUUCAAAAAAAACAUUGAACAUGCUGGCAUAUCGGACAUCAAACAUUGGACGCAAUGUGAAUCCUUCAUAAACAUCAAUUCCGGGUUUCAUAAGAUGGCCGAAAGAAGGGAGACCCUCCGAAGCAAUAUCGUCUACUCUACUCUAUCAAUUAUGCUAGAUGAAUAUCAAGAUUUAGGAAAACAAAUUUAGUAUAAAUAAAUAAAGAAAUCUUAAUGAAUACCUCAUUCUAAAUUUUAUAUUAUA